CAGCAGCCACGGGAAUACGUAGGGUGCAAGCGUUAAUCGGAAUUACUGGGCGUAAAGCGUGCGUAGGCGGCUUUUUAAGUCGGAUGUGAAAUCCCUGAGCUUAACUUAGGAAUUGCAUUCGAUACUGGGAAGCUAGAGUAUGGGAGAGGAUGGUAGAAUUCCAGGUGUAGCGGUGAAAUGCGUAGAGAUCUGGAGGAAUACCGAUGGCGAAGGCAGCCAUCUGGCCUAAUACUGACGCUGAGGUACGAAAGCAUGGGGAGCAAACAGGAUUAGAUACCCCUGUAGUCCCUGUCUCUUAUAC
rnacentral:rRNA from 1 species